AAAAUAUUUUUACUUUCUUUCUGUUUCCUUUCCUUUCCUUCCGUUAGUAAACUCUAGAACACAGUGUAAAAGAGAGAUGCCAGGAGGUGGUUACCGCCGGCCACACGUGUUACCACCCUAGGUACAGGAAGAGGAAGCGGACCAUAGAAAAAGGAACUCCGGGGAAGUUCCGCAGCUCAUGGCGACGAUCGUUUAUCUGAUUACAAAGCGGUGGUGGUUCAAUUGAGAACUCAGACAGUCAACGGCUGGGGUUCAUGAAAGCCGGCAAGCCACUGGUAGAUUCCGGCCCGUUUUGAGUCUCAAACCACUAAACCGACACUAAGGAAUCCGAUGACGGUGACGGAUCGUUCAACGCAACGGCGGUGGUGAUGUUCUUAGUUGGCUUAGUCAUAGCUCCGACGAAAUUUGGGCUGCUAUGAACCAUGAUGACGACGGUGAUGUCUUACGGCGGCGGUGAUGGUGUUUGAGUAACCAUCAGCGAUGUUGAAGAGAUUCAAGGGAGAUGAAGACGGCGGCCAUACGAAUUAGUUCCGGCAUGUUUUCUGGCAAGUCUUUGGUAAGCUUCCUUUCUUUUGCACGUCACUCUUUUAACCAGGUUGGUGUUUUUUAGGAGUUUAAGUGGCGGAGACAAGAAGCUAGGGUUACGACGAGGUUCCGGUUGCCUAAUUCAGGUGAGCAUGUUAUUGUUAAGAGUCGUGAAUGUGGGAUGCAUGAGGAACAGGUGAUGGGUUGGUAGAUCGGAGAAGAGAGGAAAAAGAAAUCAUGAAUGUGGGAUGUUUGGUGGAGAUCUUUGUUGUUGGCAUGAGUGAAGGUGUCAUCUUUGAAGCUGCAAUCUAUUGUGUUUGUUGUUGCAGCCGUUAAUGGGAAAUCUUCAUCUUUAGAGAAGUCUCAUGCAUGUAGCGUUCAACCCAUCAAAGCUACUGCCACACACACAGACACCCUAUAGUGUUUCAAUAAAUACAAUAGUGGCCUAUACCUGCUUGGCACUACGGUUGUCACGUUUACAUCCUCUUGAUAGCUUAUACACCUUGCGAAUGCAUAACCAAAAUUGCCUCCUUGAUCUUCUAAAACGUCAUCUCAAAUCUUCUUUUGCAACCGAUGAGCCUUUGGAUUAGUCUGUGGGUGCCAAUUAGAAGCAACAACCCCAAAUUCUUCUUCAAAUCCUUAGAUCAACUGUUAAACCGGAGACUUGGCCCGAAAGUAACAACCAUUGGGGCGGCGAUGGUGAUGAAACCGAUGUUAUUUCGGAAACCACCAGCAACCACCCCUGUUCCUCUCACCACUAUAUCCAUUGCCUAUCUUCAUGCAACCACCGCUACCAACAUCACCAUAAGAUAGGAUUUGUGACUAUUCUUCUUUGAUUAUAGGAAAAAAUAUUACUUACUGGGUAGGUGAUGGUGAGGAGGAAAACCCAAAACUUGAUAUUGAGAGUUUCAGUUCCGAAAGUUUUCUUUAUUUGGGCAACAACUUGAUAUCAGCCAAACAACCCUGCCGUUGAUGAACUCUCAGCCCAUUGAUCAAUUGAAAGUCCUGGUUGUUCGUCGGUUGAAGAAGGGUUGUUUGUGGAACAUGGUCCGUGUAAACUGAUUGGUAUUUUGUUGUUAACAGAGGGUGUUGAGAUCUUUUUUGACGAAAAUGGUAAUUUCCAGCAACCAAAUGAAAGUUGAUUGAUGUGAGCCUUGAAAGUUUGUUUCGAGUUAAAAGGCUCAUGAAAGUUGUCCAAUCCUGUGUAUAUGGAAAAUUCAGGUCGGGCCACAUCGUCGGCAAGUUUUGAUGAUGUGGGUUAUAUUAAUUGAAAUUGUAUUAGCAGUAAAGAAUUUAUAGAACAAGAAAAAGACCGUACGUUAGUAAUGUUCCUUUGUAGUUGCUUUUAAUAAUUAGUAGCAUUAUAAUAAUAUAUUGCUCCAUGUAUUAGAACAUUCAUGUAAGAAUGUAGUUUUAACUACCUGAAAGCUAUUGAAAACACAUGGUUUUUUGGUUUUAA